UACGAAGGGGGCUAGCGUUGCUCGGAAUCAGCUGGGCGUAAGCGCACGUAGGCGGAUCUUUAAGUCAGGGGUGAAACUCCUGGAGCUCAACUCCAGAACUGCCUUUGAUACUGGGGAUCUCGAGUCCGGAAGAGGUGAGUGGAACUCCGAGUGUAGAGGUGAAAUCGUAGAUAUUCGGAAGAACACCAGUGGCGAAGGCGGCUCACUGGUCCGGUACUGACGCUGAGGUGCGAAAGCGUGGGGAGCAACAGG
rnacentral:rRNA from 1 species